GAUGAACGCUGGCGGCGUGCCUAAUACAUGCAAGUCGAGCGAACGGACGAGAAGCUUGCUCCUCUGAUGUUAGCGGCGGACGGGUGAGUAACACGUGGAUAACCUACCUAUAAGACUGGGAUAACUUCGGGAAACCGGAGCUAAUACCGGAUAAUAUUUUGAACCGCAUGGUUCAAAAGUGAAAGACGGUUUUGCUGUCACUUAUAGAUGGAUCCGCGCUGCAUUAGCUAGUUGGUAAGGUAACGGCUUACCAAGGCAACGAUGCAUAGCCGACCUGAGAGGGUGAUCGGCCACACUGGAACUGAGACACGGUCCAGACUCCUACGGGAGGCAGCAGUAGGGAAUCUUCCGCAAUGGGCGAAAGCCUGACGGAGCAACGCCGCGUGAGUGAUGAAGGUCUUCGGAUCGUAAAACUCUGCUAUUAGGGAAGAACAUAUGUGUAAGUAACUGUGCACGUCUUGACGGUACCUAAUCAGAAAGCCACGGCUAACUACGUG
rnacentral:rRNA from 1 species